AUGGGCGAAAGCCUGAUGCAGCGACGCCGCGUGCGGGAUGAAGGCCUUCGGGUUGUAAACCGCUUUCAGCAGGGACGAGGCGAAAGUGACGGUACCUGCAGAAGAAGCCCCGGCUAACUACGUGCCAGCAGCCGCGGUAAUACGUAGGGGGCAAGCGUUAUCCGGAUUCAUUGGGCGUAAAGCGCGCGUAGGCUGCCCAGUAGGUCGAGAGUUAAAUCCGGGGGCUCAACCCCCGUCCGCUCCCGAUACCGCUGGGAUUCGAGUCUGGUAGGGGAAGGUGGAAUUCCCAGUGUAGCGGUGGAAUGCGCAGAUAUUGGGAAGAACACCGGUGGCGAAGGCGGCCUUCUGGGCCAUGACUGACGCUGAGGCGCGAAAGCUAGGGGAGCGAACAGGAUUAGAUACCCUGGUAGUCCUAGCCGUAAACGAUGGGCCACUAGGUGUGGGGAGGCUUUACUU
rnacentral:rRNA from 1 species